GGGGAAUAUUGCGCAAUGGGGGAAACCCUGACGCAGCAAUACCGCGUGAGUGAAGAAGGUUUUCGGAUCGUAAAGCUCUGUUAUUGGGGAAGAAAAAAAGACGGUACCCAAGAAGAAAGUCCCGGCUAACUACGUGCCAGCAGCCGCGGUAAUACGUAGGGGACAAGCGUUGUCCGGAUUUACUGGGCGUAAAGGGCACGCAGGCGGUUUUUUAAGUCAGAUGUGAAAGGUACCGGCUCAACCGGUGACAUGCAUUUGAAACUGAAAGACUUGAGUAUUGGAGAGGCAAGUGGAAUUCCUAGUGUAGCGGUGAAAUGCGUAGAUAUUAGGAGGAACACCCGUGGCGAAGGCGGCCAGCUGGGCCGGACCUGACGCUGAGGCACGAAGGCGUGGGGAGCGAACG
rnacentral:rRNA from 1 species